rnacentral:misc_RNA from 1 species
AAUUGUUUCCAAGUUUGAUGUACAGUUAAGGGUUGAUUCCAUUCUUCCCACAAUGCCUGAAUCUGCAAAAGUUGAUGAAUGCUUUUGAAACUGAGAAUUUUCUUCAUUCAAAAAUUCUCGCUGGUCAAUAGCUUCAUCACACUCAAUAUCCGGGGUGUAUGUUUCUAUACCGUAUCCAUUCUGACAUUUCUGAACAUAAGCAUCACAUUCUGCUAUCUGUUGAGAAACUGUGACAUGAGAACCUGAUUUUUUGG